AGUGAACGCUGGCGGUAGGCCUAACACAUGCAAGUCGAACGGCAGCACAGUAAGAGCUUGCUCUUACGGGUGGCGAGUGGCGGACGGGUGAGGAAUACAUCGGAAUCUACUUUUUCGUGGGGGAUAACGUAGGGAAACUUACGCUAAUACCGCAUACGACCUACGGGUGAAAGCAGGGGAUCUUCGGACCUUGCGCGAUUGAAUGAGCCGAUGUCGGAUUAGCUAGUUGGCGGGGUAAAGGCCCACCAAGGCGACGAUCCGUAGCUGGUCUGAGAGGAUAAUCAGCCACACUGGAACUGAGACACGGUCCAUACGCCUACGGGAGGCAGCAGUGGGGAAUAUUGGGCAAUGGGCGCAAGCCUGAUCCAGCCAUACCGCGUGUGUGAAGAAGGCCUUCGGGUUGUAAAGCCCUUUUGUUGGGAAAGAAAAGCAGCAGGUUAAUACCCCGCUGUUCUGACGGUACCCAAAGAAUAAGCACCGGCUAACUUCGUG
rnacentral:rRNA from 1 species